UGAGGAUAAGCUUUGUGUUUUGAAGUGUUAGAUUUUUGAUCUAUUGAAGCGUGGUGUACGUAUUUUCAG
rnacentral:tRNA from 1 species